UACGUAGGGUGCGAGCGUUAAUCGGAAUUACUGGGCGUAAAGCGUGCGCAGGCGGUGAUGUAAGACCGAUGUGAAAUCCCCGGGCUCAACCUGGGAACUGCAUUGGUGACUGCAUUGCUCGAGUAUGGCAGAGGGGGGUGGAAUUCCACGUGUAGCAGUGAAAUGCGUAGAGAUGUGGAGGAACACCGAUGGCGAAGGCAGCCCCCUGGGCCAAUACUGACGCUCAUGCACGAAAGCGUGGGGAGCAAAC
rnacentral:rRNA from 1 species